rnacentral:rRNA from 1 species
UGCNGUCGUACGAAAAUUUUUAAUUUAAGUGGCGGACGGGUGAGUAACACGUAAGAAUUUGCCUUAGGAGGGGGAUAACAAUUGGAAACGAUUGCUAAUACCCCAUAUGCUUUCGAGUGAAAUGAAUUUUUUCGCCUAAAGAGAAGCUUGCGGCUGAUUAGCUUGUUGGUAAGGUAAUGGCUUACCAGGGCGACGAUCAGUAUCUGGUUUGAGAGGAUGAUCAGACACACUGGAACUGAGACACGGUCCAGACUCCUACGGGAGGCAGCAGUGGGGAAUUUUCCGCAAUGGGCGAAAGCCUGACGGAGCAAUCUCGCGUGAGGGAUGACGGCCUAUGGGUUGUAAACCUCUUUUUUCAGGGAGGAAUAACUGACGUGUACCUGAAGAAUAAGCAUCGGCUAACUCCGUGCCAGCAGCCGCGGUAAGACGGAGGAUGCAAGUGUUAUCCGGAAUCACUGGGCGUAAAGCGUCUGUAGGUGGUUUAGUAAGUCAACUGUUAAAUCUUGAAGCUUAACUUCAAAAUCGCAGUCGAAACUAUUAGACUAGAGUAUAGUAGGGGUAAAGGGAAUUUCCAGUGGAGCGGUGAAAUGCGUAGAGAUUGGAAAGAACACCGAUGGCGAAGGCACUUUACUGNGCUAUUACUGACACUGAGAGACGAAAGCUAGGGUAGCAAAUGGNAUUAGAUACCCCAGUAGUCCUAGCUGUAAACAAUGGACACUAGAUGUUGAACAGAUCGACCUGUGCAGUAUUAAAGCUAACGCGUUAANUAUCCCGCCUGGGAAGUAUGCUCGCAAGANUGAAACUCAAAGGAANUGACGGGGGCCCGCACAAGC